UGAAAUUUGAAUGUGUCAAUACUACUCCUUUACUAGUUCCUGUAGUCCCUGAAGAGUACAGAAUUGCUGCUGUAUCCGACUGAACGGGCUUAGCUUCUGGAAUGCAUAAAGGUUCACAAUUCUCAACCAAUUCUUUGAUGGUAAGUGCAUUAUCAAAUUCUUUACUGUAGGAAGUAACCAGAGUAGGCACUCCAGUGGGCACUAACUUGUGCAUCUCUUCUGGUGAAACAAUAGCAAGUUUCGCUCCAGAAUCGCGUACUUGUUUGGCAAUUUCUGCUACCGUGUUGAGUGGAUUGGCCGUGGUCAGAACUGCGCCAAUGGAGAGUACAGCGAGACAUAUAGUUGGGUACAAUAGCGAGUUUGGUGAUAAGACAAACACAACAUCACCUUUCUUCACCCCGAGUCUAUGGUACAAUCCGGCAGCAAGCGCCCUAACAGACCGAUCAAGUCGAGAAUAGGUAACUUGUUCAUGAGUGGUGGAGUCAAUAAGUGCUACUCGGGAUUCGGCUUGGUCAAGUGGAGGGAACUGCGAUAGCACAUAUGUGGCUGUGUCAAGAUUAGGCUGAGUAGGGAUCCUGUCAUCUUCACUCAAAUGAACGAGGGAAUGGUAAAUUCCGGUUUCCGAAUUGAACCCGGAUGUUUUAUCAAACAAUUGUACAAGACUAGUGGAUUGUUCUUCAAUGGUAGCCAUCAAGCCCUCUUUUACUUUGGAAAUUUUGAACUAAGUCUGGGAUAAAUAAGCUGUAUUUUUUGGUUUGUAAUUCAUAGUUAAUUCCGCUGUUAUAAUGGGAUAUUUUUGGCUUUUUACGUGUGCAUAGUUGCCGGCUAUAACAAUGUGACAAAGUCAUGGCAUCUCAUUUUCUGAAAGAUUCACAUUUAAUUCCUGAAAUUUUGUCUUGUUUAUAAUACGACAUAUGGGGGCAUCGCUUUCUUAUUAAAGGUUUCGAU
rnacentral:lncRNA from 1 species